GAUGAAGAACGUAGCGAAAUGCGAUAAGUAAUGUGAAUUGCAGAAUUCAGUGAAUCAUCGAAUCUUUGAACGCACCUUGCGCCCUUUGGCCAUUCCGAAGGGCAUGCCUGUUUGAGUAUCAUGAACACCUCAACUCUUUAUGGUUUUCCAUGAUGAGCUUGGACUCUGGGGGUUUUGCUGGCUCACAGUCGGCUCCUCUAAAAUGAAUCAGCUUACCAGUGUUUGGUGGGUAUCAUGGGUGUGAUAACUAUCUACGCUUGUGGUUUUUCCACCAGGUAACCUUCAGCAGUGGAGGUUCGCUGGAGCUCAUAGAUGUCUCUCCUCAGUGAGGACAGCCCUUUGAAUGUUUGAUCUCAAAUCAGGUAGGACUACCCGCUGAACUUAAGCAUAUCAAUUAGCGGAGGA
rnacentral:misc_RNA from 1 species